CGGCAAUGGAGGAAACUCUGACCGAGCAACGCCGCGUGAACGAUGAAGUAUUUCGGUACGUAAAGUUCUUUUAUUAGGGAAGAAUAAAUGAUGGAAAAAUCAUUCUGACGGUACCUAAUGAAUAAGCCCCGGCUAACUAUGUGCCAGCAGCCGCGGUAAUACAUAGGGGGCAAGCGUUAUCCGGAAUUAUUGGGCGUAAAGGGUGCGUAGGCGGUUAAAUAAGUUUAUGGUCUAAGUGCAAUGCUCAACAUUGUGAUGCUAUAAAAACUGUUUAGCUAGAGUAAGAUAGAGGCAAGUGGAAUUCCAUGUGUAGUGGUAAAAUGCGUAAAUAUAUGGAGGAACACCAGUAGCGAAGGCGGCUUGCUGGGUCUUUACUGACGCUGAGGCACGAAAGCGUGGGGAGCAAACAGGAUUAGAUACCCUGGUAGUCCACGCCGUAAACGAUGAGUACUAAACGUUGGGUAAAACCAGUGUUGAAGUUAACACAUUAAGUACUCCGCCUGAGUAGUACGUACGCAAGUAUGAAACUUAAAGGAAUUGACGGGACUCCGCACAAGCGGUGGAUCAUGUUGUUUAAUUCGAAGGUACCCGAAAAACCUCACCAGGUCUUGACAUGCUUCUGCAAAGCUGUAGAAACACAGUGGAGGUUAUCAGUUGCACAGGUGGUGCAUGGUUGUCGUCAGCUCGUGUCGUGAGAUGUUGGGUUAAGUCCCACAACGAGCGCAACCCUUAUUGUUAGUUACCAGCACGUAAUGGUGGGGACUUUAGCAAGACUGCCAGUGAUAAAUUGGAGGAAGGUGGGGACGACGUCAAAUCAUCAUGCCCCUUAUGACCUGGGCUACAAACGUGAUACAAUGGCUGUUACAAAGAGUAGCUGAA
rnacentral:rRNA from 1 species